AACGAACGCUGGCGGCAUGCCUAACACAUGCAAGUCGAACGAGAUCUUCGGGUCUAGUGGCGCACGGGUGCGUAACGCGUGGGAAUCUGCCCUUUGGUUCGGAAUAACAGUUGGAAACGACUGCUAAUACCGGAUGAUGACGAAAGUCCAAAGAUUUAUCGCCAGAGGAUGAGCCCGCGUAGGAUUAGCUAGUUGGUGUGGUAAAGGCGCACCAAGGCGACGAUCCUUAGCUGGUCUGAGAGGAUGAUCAGCCACACUGGGACUGAGACACGGCCCAGACUCCUACGGGAGGCAGCAGUGGGGAAUAUUGGACAAUGGGCGAAAGCCUGAUCCAGCAAUGCCGCGUGAGUGAUGAAGGCCUCAGGGUUGUAAAGCUCUUUUACCCGAGAUGAUAAUGACAGUACCGGGAGAAUAGGCUCCGGCUAACUCCGUGCCAGCCGCCGCCGUAACAC
rnacentral:rRNA from 1 species